ensembl:lncRNA
CUACACGUUUUGUUUGUUUUUCUUUUUGGACCAUAAGAGCAAAUAUGAAAGCUGUGGCAUUCCUGAUGUGUUUGCUGGGCUCCUCAAUAGCUGCCCCUGCCCCUGACAGUGACAGCAAUGAGCAGGCAAUUAUUAGUCAUGCUAACACAGCACUGCAGUUGAUGGAACUCUACAGAAUGUUUGGACAUCUGCGGCAACAGGGUUUUGGUGCUGUUCCUGUUGGUGCUCAACUGCCUGCAGCACUCUCAGCGCCCGCAGCACCCGCACCUGUUCAUGCCCAGCCUCAGGUUUCACCUCAAGCACCACAGCAGGGCAUUUUCUUCAACCCCACAGGAGAUGAAUCAGAUGAGGAAGGAGCACCGCAGUUUCGUGGGUUUUAUCCUCCCUAUGGCUACCAGCCUGCCCAGCGGGCUGCUCCUUUGAACUCAGAUGAGGCAGAAGGGGCAGAAGCAGCAGAAGGAGCCGAGGCUGGAGCCGAACCUGAACCUGCUGGAGCCGCUGCAGUCGCUACUGCCGCAAAUGAGAUCGCACCUGUUGAUGUUGCCGUAGAUGUUACUGUUGAACCUGCUACCGAAGUCAUUGCUUCUGCUGUUCCAUUUCUCAUCCCUGAGGUACCGGCAGUCGCUGUGGACACUGACACCACUUUGGUGGGGCCUGAUGCCACUGCUGGUGCAGACCAGGUGUUGGUGGCUGAUGCAAACGCUGCUGCUCUGCCUGUGCAGUGAAAGAGAUGAUCACAAGCCCCUCCCCAUAGAUCAUAACCAAUCAGUCACAUCACUGACAUUAAGAACAAACUUCAAUGGUAUGAACAUUAUAGCACAGGGACUUGGCUAGACAGAGGGGUGUCUAACUGGCUUGCUUCAACAAAGUGUGGCACAUUCUUGUUGUGUUGUGUGUAAAAAUGUUUCCUGGCAGAUGACAAUUUUUUAUUUUUUUUUUAUCAACCUCAUUGUAAGAAUUGAGCCUAUACCGCUACAGACAGCAUUACUUGUUAAAAGUAAAGUAUUCUCUUUCAGUUUCUUAAAAUAAAAUGUCUUUUGUCAACUGAAAUGUUACUGUG